UAGGGAAUCUUCCACAAUGGACGCAAGUCUGAUGGAGCAACGCCGCGUGAGUGAAGAAGGUUUUCGGACCGUAAAGCUCUGUUGUUGGUGAAGAAGGAUAGAGGUAGUAACUGGCCUUUAUUUGACGGUAAUCAACCAGAAAGUCACGGCUAACUACGUGCCAGCAGCCGCGGUAAUACGUAGGUGGCAAGCGUUGUCCGGAUUUAUUGGGCGUAAAGCGAGCGCAGGCGGAAGAAUAAGUCUGAUGUGAAAGCCCUCGGCUUAACCGAGGAAUUGCAUCGGAAACUGUUUUUCUUGAGUGCAGAAGAGGAGAGUAGAACUCCAUGUGUAGCGGUGGAAUGCGUAGAUAUAUGGAAGAAUACCAGUGGCGAAGGCGGCUCUCUGGUCUGCAACUGACGCUGAGGCUCGAAAGCAUGGGUAGCGAACAGGAUUAGAUACCCUGGUAGUCCAUGCCGUAAACGAUGAGUGCUAAGUGUUGGGAGGCUUCCGCCUCUCAGUGCUGCAGCUAACGCAUUAAGCACU
rnacentral:rRNA from 1 species